UGUCCCCCGGGCUCUUGAACAGCAUUGAGCAUGUGAGCGGGUUGCUCAAUACAGUGGAAGACUCCAUUAUGCUUAUUGGUCCUCAGCUCAAAGGCAACAGCACUAAGAUGGAGACUUCUGACAUAGAUGCAGAGAUUGCUGUUCAGAGAGGAAAGACCCGACCCACUGGACCAGUCCAUCUGACCAAUGAGAAUGCAAGACUCGACACUGACUGGACAACAGCAAGUGGGACUGGACCAUACCCUGGUUUUGCUCUGGCUGCAUUGUUGAGCUACAAGAACCUUGAGACAUCA